CUCAUGGUUUCACGGUAUUGCAAUGAGAACAAUUUAAAACCCUUAGCGAGAAUCAAGUGGAGGACAAGUCUGGUGCCAGCACCCGCGGUAAUUCCAGCUCCACUAGCGUAUAUUAAAGUUGUUGCAGUUAAAAAGCUCGUAGUUGAACCUCUGUCUGGGGCUAGUUUUGGCUUUGGUCAGGCUAGUUCUAGGCAUCCGCCUACAAGACUUAGAGGGCAUUCAGUUGUUCACUAGGAGGAGUAGGCAUUUUACUUUGAAAAAAUUAGAGUGUUUAAGGCAGGCAAUCGCCCGCAUAUAUUAGCAUGGAAUAAUAGAAUAGGACACUUUUCCAUUUCGUUGGUUAUUGGAAUCGUGUAAUAAUUAAUAGGGACAGUUGUGGGCAUUUGUAUUUAAUUGUCAGAGGUGAAAUUCUUGGAUUUAUUAAAGACAAACUAACGCGAAAGCAUUUGCCAAGGAUGUUUUCAUUAAUCAAGAACGAAAGUUAGGGGAUCAAAGACGAUCAGAUACCGUCCUAGUCUUAACUAUAAACUAUUCCGACUCAAUGUUUGACUGGCUUAUAUAACCAGUUGAGCGUUGUAUGAGAUCAAAGUCUUUAGGUUCUGGGGGGAGUAUGGUUGCAAAGCUGAAACUUAAAGGAAUUGACGGAAGAGCACAACCAGGAGUGGAUUCUGCGGCUUAAUUUGACUCAACACGAGGAAACUUACCAGGUUAAAACAAUAGUGGGAUUGACAGUUUGAGAGCGCUUUCUUGAUUGGUUGGGUGGUGGUGCAUGGCCGUUCUUAGUUGGUGGAGUGAUUUGUCUGCUUAAUUGCGUUAACGAACGAGACCUUAACCUGCUUACUAGACUGGCGAUCAUCAAUCGUUAGCUCUUCUUAGAGGGACUUUGGUUGUUUUAACUCCAAGGAAGUUUGAGGCAAUAACAGGUCUGUGAUGCCCUUAGAUAUCCUGGGCCGCACGCGUCAUACAAUGACUAGUUCAGAAAGUUUUCUCCUGACCCGAAAGGGGAUGGGUAAUCUUGAUAAUACUAGUCGUGUUAGGGAUCGAUCUUUGCAAUUAUAGAUCUUGAACGAGGAAUUCCUAGUAAGUGCGGUUCAUCAGACCGUACUGAUUACGUCCCUGCUCUUUGUACACACCGCCCGUCGCUUCUACCGAGUGGGUGGUCCGGUGAGAUAAUUGAACUUCGCAGGUAACUGAGAGGAAAGAUUAUCAAACCUAUCCACCU
rnacentral:rRNA from 1 species